AGGAGCCGUGUGAGAAAGUCUCAUGCACGGUUUUGAAUGAGAGAAAGAAGUGAGGAAUCCUCUUUUCGACUCUAAC
rnacentral:ncRNA from 1 species